GACGAACGCUGGCGGCACGCUUAACACAUGCAAGUCGAACGAGAGAAGAGGAGCUUGCUUUUCUGAUCAAGUGGCGGACGGGUGAGUAACACGUGAGCAAUCUGCCUUUCAGAGGGGGAUACCGAUUGGAAACGAUCGUUAAUACCGCAUAACAUAAUUGGACCGCAUGAUUUGAUUAUCAAAGAUUUAUCGCUGAAAGAUGAGCUCGCGUCUGAUUAGCUAGUUGGUAAGGUAACGGCUUACCAAGGCGACGAUCAGUAGCCGGACUGAGAGGUUGAUCGGCCACAUUGGGACUGCGACACGGCCCAGACUCCUACGGGAGGCAGCAGUGGGGAAUAUUGCACAAUGGAGGAAACUCUGAUGCAGCGAUGCCGCGUGAGGGAAGAAGGUUUUAGGAUUGUAAACCUCUGUCUUCAGGGACGAAAAAAGACGGUACCUGAGGAGGAAGCUCCGGCUAACUACGUGCCAGCAGCCGCCAUAA
rnacentral:rRNA from 1 species